CUGGCUCAGGAUGAACGCUAGCGGCAGGCUUAACACAUGCAAGUCGAGGGGCAUCGGGAGUAGCAAUACUUGCCGGCGACCGGCGCAAGGGUGCGUAACGCGUGAGCAACAUGCCCGUAUCAGGGGGAUAAUCCAUGGAAACGUGGUCUAAUACCCCAUAGUAAUUAUGUAAGGCAUCUUAUAUAAUUUAAAGCUUUGGUGGAUACGGAUUGGCUCGCGUGACAUUAGCUAGAUGGUAAGGUAACGGCUUACCAUGGCUACGAUGUCUAGGGGUUCUGAGAGGAAGGUCCCCCACACUGGAACUGAGACACGGUCCAGACUCCUACGGGAGGCAGCAGUGAGGAAUAUUGGACAAUGGAUGGAAAUCUGAUCCAGCCAUGCCGCGUGCCAGGAAGACGGCCCUAUGGGUUGUAAACUGCUUUUGUAUGGGAGCAAUAAGGGCUACGCGUAGUCCGAUGAGAGUACCAUACGAAUAAGCACCGGCUAACUCCGUGCCAGCCGCUGC
rnacentral:rRNA from 1 species